GUGCUCGCUUUGGCAGCACACAUACUAAAACUGGAGUGAUACAGAGAAGAUUAGCAUGGCCCUGUGCAAGGAUGACAUGCAAAUUCGUGAAGUGUUCCAUAUUUUA
rnacentral:snRNA from 1 species